AUCUUCUGUACAUCAUCUGGAGCAUCAUGUUUACUUCUCAUUGCGUUCCAAAGAUAUUGUUACGUAUUUCAGAAGCCAGUGCUUACUCGUAAGUGGCAUCGAUUGUUUAUCAUCAUCUCACUUCAUAUAUCGGUAUUUAUAGCAAUUCCGGUUUUCUUCAUCGUGGAUUUGAGAACAAUGUCAGUAGGAGGAGUGAUCCGGGAGGUAUGCGGAGAUACUUUAUAUGAAGAAAAACUCAUUUACAAGUACUCAUAUCUUCAUUCGUUAUUUUUCUUGGCGUUUUUACUCAUUGUUGUGAUUACGAUUUUGUACGUAAGAAUCGGGUUGAAAACGUUUAAAAUGCUGUGUCCAAAAGAAAAACAAAGACACCCAUCUUCCUUUAGGAAAGCUGGACUAAAAUAUACAUUGAUGUAUGUCUCAGUAUUCGUGGUGUAUAUUGUAGCCUACAUACCCUCAAAUGCACUUAGUCUGUUACCAGAUGAAACAAGAACAAAAGUCUAUCACGCAAUGGAUGAAAACAACUCCAAGCAUAUCGCCUUACUUGUUGUUCAGAGGAUGCUUAUAUUCAGUCAUGUAUUGAAUCCAUUAAUAAUUUAUCUUUUCCAUGCAAGAUUUCGCAGGGAAAUGGGAAAGUAUUUUAGCCAAUGCCAAAUUAGAAGGGAACAAUGUUGUUCUUGCACUGAACUGCUUAGAUUUAACAGACUGUCAGUUAUAUAGCUUCCAUUUUGAGAUAAUGUUAUAUCUGCAAUUGCUGAUAAAUCUGUCAAAACGUUUACUGCGCGAAGAACAAAAAUGAACAUGAUAUUCUUAAUUUGUGCUUAUUUUGAAAUAAACUGAUAUGCAGAGGCC
rnacentral:sRNA from 1 species